CCACUCUGUCUCGGAUCCUGGCAAGUAAGUCCUUGUCAGACUGAGAGCAGUGUGCCU
rnacentral:pre_miRNA from 1 species